CAACUGUAAUGGUUAAAUCGGAAGAAGGCGCUCGAAUUUCCCAUCCGUCUGCCCCAUUCCCGUUAGAACCCUCUGAUGACGCCCAGUUCGAAUGCUGCGGUGGCCACCCACUCGCCCGGGAAACCUGCGAUCGCUGCGCGUGGCCCUAAGCAAUGAUGAUGACGCUUGAGGGAGGCUUCACUCUGCAGAGGCAUCUUCACCGUCGCAUGGCGAACUGGAUUACGAUCGUUAGGGGCUUGGGUCAGAUGGAUGAGAUGGGGAUGUCGACUUCUUUUUGUUUUU
rfam:Magnaporthe poae ATCC 64411 unplaced genomic scaffold supercont1.1, whole genome shotgun sequence.